AUUGAACGCUGGCGGCAGGCUUAACACAUGCAAGUCGAGCGGGGUGAUGGUGCUUGCACUAUCACUUAGCGGCGGACGGGUGAGUAAUGCUUAGGAAUCUGCCUAUUAGUGGGGGACAACAUCUCGAAAGGGAUGCUAAUACCGCAUACGUCCUACGGGAGAAAGCAGGGGAUCACUUGUGACCUUGCGCUAAUAGAUGAGCCUAAGUCGGAUUAGCUAGUUGGUGGGGUAAAGGCCUACCAAGGCGACAAUCUGUAGCGGGUCUGAGAGGAUGAUCCGCAACACUGGGACUGGGACACGGCCCAGACUCCUACGGGAGGCAGCAGUGGGGAAUAUUGGACAAUGGGGGGAACCCUGAUCCAGCCAUGCCGCGUGUGUAAAGAAGGCCUUAUGGUUGUAAAGCACUUUAAGCGAGGAGGAGGCUCCUUUGGUUAAUACCCAAGAUGAGUGGACGUUACUCGCAGAAUAAGCACCGGCUAACUCUGUGCCAGCCGCCGCGGUAA
rnacentral:rRNA from 1 species